AUCUUUGUGCUUGGGGCAAUGACAUAGCUAGUGAGGUUUUAACUGAGGCGCGUCAAUUGCUGGUUGAAAACUAUUUCCAAACUCCCUCCUUAGCCUGUGUUUUGCUUUGGCUAUCCAGAAUUUUUGGAAGGGUGUACUCU